GACGAACGCUGGCGGCGUGCUUAACACAUGCAAGUCGAACGCAAAGGCCCUGCUUUUGUGGGGUGCUCGAGUGGCGAAAGGGUGAGUAACACGUGAGUAACCUGUCCUUGACUUCGGGAUAACUUCAGGAAACUGGGGCUAAUAUCGGGUAGGAGCUCCUGCCACAUGGGGGGGGUGUGAAAGAUUCGGCGGUUGGGGAUGGCAUGGUGGUAUAUCAGCUUGUUGGUGAGGUAGUGAGUUACCAAGGCUUUGAGGGGUAGCCGGCCUGAGAGGGUGAGCGGCCACAUUGGGACUGGGAUACGGCCCAGACUCCUACGGGGGGCAGCAGUGGGAAAUAUUGCACAAUGGGCGGAAGCCUGAUGCAGCAACUCCGCGUGCGGGAUGACGGCCUUCGGGUUGUAAACCGCUUGCGCCUGUGACGAAGCGUGAGUGACGGUAAUGGGUAAAGAAGCACCGGCUAACUACGUG
rnacentral:rRNA from 1 species